rnacentral:rRNA from 1 species
UACAGAGGGGGCAAGCGUUGUUCGGAAUUACUGGGCGUAAAGGGCGCGUAGGCGGCCUUCUAAGUCGAACGUGAAAUCCCCGGGCUCAACCCGGGAACUGCGUCCGAUACUGGAAGGCUUGAAUCCGGGAGAGGGAUGCGGAAUUCCCAGUGUAGAGGUGAAAUUCGUAGAUAUUGGGAAGAACACCAGUGGCGAAGGCGGCUCACUGGCCCGUAACUGACGCUGAGGUGCGAAAGCGUGGGGAGCAAACAGG